UAAAAGAUAGUGGUCGUUGGAUGAAGAUAAUCUAAAGGUGCAUAUUCAUUCUCAAUUCUAACAACAUAUAGCAUUCUCAAUUGAACCUUUUCCUAUAUAUAUAUAUGGUGUGGUUCUAGAGAGAACUACAUUAUUUGUGAGAACGGGAGAACCAUCAAAUCUAAUGCAUUCACUGUAAAAAUUAAUGCAUCCGCUGUUAAAAUUAAUGCACUCAAAAAAAUAAAAAAAAAUGCUCCCUUCAGGAUUCGAACCCAGGAUCUGCAUUCAUCCAACAAGAUGAUGCAUCCACCGUAGAUCUUGAUGAUCGAAUGGCUGAAAAUGGUUCUCCGGUCUUCUUUUAUUUAUGGUUCUUUCCUGAACCUCUCCCUAUAUAUAUAUAUAUAUAUAUA
rnacentral:lncRNA from 1 species